rnacentral:rRNA from 1 species
UACGGCCCUACCAUCCGGAACACACCUGAUCUCAUCUGAUCUCAGAACCUAAGCAGGGUCGGAGCUGGUCAGUACUUGGAUGGGAGAUGGAGAUUUGGGACACGGGAAAAGGCCAUGC